rnacentral:tRNA from 1 species
GCCUGGGUGGCAUAGUGGUUUGUGUGCUGGACUAUGACUCUAGAGACCAGGGUUUGAUUACCCGCUCAGCCA